GUNNCCCCUCGUCCACCUGCCCUGGAGACUUGGACAACCCCGGGAAACUGGGAUUAAUCCGUGAUAGGUCAUCUCAUCUGGAAGGAGAGAUGGCUUAAAGGGAUGCGCGGGCUUCUUCUGCGUAUUUGCUCCAGGAUGGGACUGCGUCCGAUCAGGCUGUUGGCGGGGUAAUGGCCCACCAAGCCAGUAACCGGUACGGGCCUUGAGAGAGGUGGCCCGGAGAUGGACACUGAGAGAAGGGUCCAGGUCCUACGGGGCGCAGCAGGCGCGAAACCUUCGCAAUGCGCGCAAGCGUGACGAGGUUAAUCCGAGUGAUUUCCGCUGAGGAGACCUUUUGUCUGCUGUAAAUAGGCAGGCGAAUAAGGGGAGGGCAAGCCUGGUGUCAGCCGCCGCGGUAAUACCAGCUCCUCGAGUGGUCGGGGCGAUUAUUGGGCCUAAAGCAUCCGUAGCCGGUUCCGUAGGUCCUCUGUUAAAUCCAACCGCCCAACGGUUGACCUGCAGAGGAUACCGCGAGACU
rnacentral:rRNA from 1 species